UACGAAGGGGGCUAGCGUUGCUCGGAAUCACUGGGCGUAAAGCGCACGUAGGCGGAUCUUUAAGUCAGGGGUGAAAUCCUGGAGCUCAACUCCAGAACUGCCUUUGAUACUGAGGAUCUCGAGUCCGGGAGAGGUGAGUGGAACUGCGAGUGUAGAGGUGAAAUUCGUAGAUAUUCGCAAGAACACCAGUGGCGAAGGCGGCUUACUGGUCCGGAACUGACGCUGAGGUGCGAAAGCGUGGGGAGCAAACAGG
rnacentral:rRNA from 1 species